CCCUUAGAUGUUCUGGGCCGCACGCGCGCUACACUGAUGCAUUCAACGAGUCUAAAACCUGGUCUGAUAGGGCUGGGUAAUCCUUUGAAUGUGCAUCGUGAUUGGGAUAGAUGAUUGCAAUUCUUCAUCUUCAACGAGGAGUGCCUAGUAAACGCAAGUCAUCAGCUUGCAUUGAUUACGUCCCUGCCCUUUGUACACACCGCCCGUCGCUCCUACCGAUUGAAUGUUCCGAUGAAUACCAUGGACUGAGAGUAUGAAUGGGUUCGCCUAUUUCUGCUUCUCGGGAAGUGGAGUAAAUCUUAACAUUUAGAGGAAGGAGAAGUCGUAACA
rnacentral:rRNA from 1 species